rnacentral:rRNA from 1 species
GCACAAGCAGCGGAGCGUGUGGUUUAAUUCGAUGUUACACGAAGAACCUUACCAGGGUUUGACAUGCAAGUGGUAGGAAGCCGAAAGGUGACCGACCCUUCGGGGAGCUUGCACAGGUGCUGCAUGGCUGUCGUCAGCUCGUGUCGUGAGAUGUUCGGUUAAUCCGCUAACGAGCGCAACCCUCGCUGUGUGUUAUAUGUGUCACACGGGACUGCCGGUCUUAAGCCGGAGGAAGGUGGGGAUGAUGUCAAGUCAGCAUGGCCUUUAUAUCCUGGGCUACACACACGCUACAAUGGCCAACACAAUAGGUUGCUAAGCCGCGAGGUGGCGCCAAUCCAUAAAGUUGGUCUCAGUUCAGAUUGUAGGCUGCAACCCGCCUGCAUGAAGAUGGAGUUGCUAGUAACCGCAGGUCAGCUAUACUGCGGUGAAUACGUUCCCGGGGCUU